AUUGAACGCUGGCGGCAGGCCUAAUACAUGCAAGUCGAACGAGUGGCGGACGGGUGAGUAAUGUCUGGGAACUUGCCUGAUGGAGGGGGAUAACUACUGGAAACGGUAGCUAAUACUGCAGACCACCGGAUGUGCCUAGAUGGGAUUAGCUAGGAGGUGGGGUAACGGCUAACCUAGGCGACGAUCCCUAGCUGGUCUGAAAGGAUGACCAGCCACACUGGAACUGAGACACGGUCCAGACUCCUACGGGAGGCAGCAGUGGGGAAUAUUGCACAAUGGGCGCAAGCCUGAUGCAGCCAUGCCGCGUGUAUGAAGAAGGCCUUCGGGUUGUAAAGUACUUUCAGCGGGGAGGCGUUACCCGCAGAAGAAGCACCGGCUAACUCCGUGCCAGCAGCCGCGGUAAUUC
rnacentral:rRNA from 1 species